rnacentral:lncRNA from 13 species
CUAGACUGGAACUCCUGGGUGCAAGGGAUCCUCCUGCCUCAGCCUCCCAAGUAGCCAGGACUACAAAACACAUGCCAGGCACCUAGCCUCUAGCAGCCAUUUUCCUACCCUGCUUUUUUGCCAACAGAGCUCUCCUCAUAUUCCAAGAAGCUAAAAAUCCAGAUACUCAAUUUCUGUACCUCUUUGAGUCAGUGCUUAGACAUGUGAUGAAGUCCUGUCCAAUGGGACUUCAAGAUAACAUUUCAUGGAAUAAAGCGAGAAAUAAACAACAGAAAUACUCUCUCAUACCCUUCCUACUUUUGGACAUGACUGGAGAGGGAUUUUUUUUCUUGCAGCUGGACCUUGCAGCUAUGAAGAAACACAGGUCACUGAUACACCGAAGAUGACAGAGGAGCAAGAAAGAAUCUGGACUCAUCAGGGUCCGUAACCACUCCUGUUUUAUUCAUUGAUUUGAUGGCCUCUUGCCGGAAGGAACAACAAGGAAUCAGGUGUCAUACUUCAGUCCUGAGCCAGAAGAAAGUUCCCUGCGGCCAGAGAGGAAAGUGUCCUUUCUUUGGAGAGGAACAGAAGCACUCCAUUAUGUGGAGAAUGCGUUCCAGAGAAUGCAUUCUCUGGAGAAGGGCAUCCAGAAUUUGGAAUUCCGAGUCAUUCUGCAGAUGGAUCAGAAUUGUCAGAAAAAGCUGGAAGAGCUCUGACUUUCCAGAAAAACAAGUGAAUUUCCAGCAAAGUGAUAUAUGAAGUGAAAUAACUCAUUCAUUUAGGCAAAUCGGCUCCCCCUUGUGGAAUGUCUUCUGUGGCAGGUAUGGGCCUCUCAAAUGAACCACAUGGGUCUUGGUACUGAGCUGAUCAACACCGUCAACCAGGAGUAUUCUUGUGGUUGCUGGAGCUGAAACUCUGGGAAAGUCAUUUGGUUUCAUGCAUCUUACUUCACUCUAUUUCCUGCAUCUGAUCUGAUGUUCUGAAUUCCUGUCUCACUAACAGCAUGAAUAGAAAUUAAUUGAAUUAGCCUGUCUCUAAUUUUCAGUUGCACAAACCAACUUAGAAUUUAAUUCUGCAAAGUCUGCUUUCCUCACAGACCUCUCUUUUUACGGGUAAAAUCCCUAGAUAAACAAACCACCAGCAAAAGGACUUUUCCUUUGGCUAUCCAAAGAUAGAUAAGCUAAACUAAUUUUGUAUAAGAUUCCAUCAUCAUUUCUAAAAAAAAUUUUUUUAAAUCUCUUAAUUCUAUGAUCAUCUCUUGUAAUAUGUGUUUGCUGUAUUAUUUAAGAUUAUUCAAUUCUGCAGUGGAAAAGAAGAGAAGCAAAUAAGGAGAAGAGAUGAAACUACACAUAGAAGUAGCUUAUGCGACACCUUAGACAUAGAUAAGGUAAGUAGAGCAAUGCAUGUACUCAGCAUAGAAAGAGAUGGAAGGACCAAAGAGCCAUGCUGCAUAAGUUAAGAGACAAGAUUUUUUUAAAGGCAGGUUGUGUUGAAAAUCACAGUAAGGCAAUGGUUGCCUUCAAGUACAUG